rnacentral:rRNA from 1 species
CAGCCGCCACGGUAAUACGAAGGGUGCAAGCGUUACUCGGAAUUACUGGGCGUAAAGCGUGCGUAGGUGGUGGUUUAAGUCCGUUGUGAAAGCCCUGGGCUCAACCUGGGAAUUGCAGUGGAUACUGGGUCACUAGAGUGUGGUAGAGGAUAGUGGAAUUUCCGGUGUAGCAGUGAAAUGCGUAGAGAUUGGAAGGAACAUCUGUGGCGAAGGCGACUAUCUGGGCCAACACUGACACUGAGGCACGAAAGCGUGGGGAGCAAACAGGAUUAGAUACCCCAGUAGUCCCUGUCUCUUAUAC